rnacentral:lncRNA from 1 species
GACCUUCCAGAGGCCCGAGGCCGGCUUGAGGAUGGACGUGUAUCAGGCACUUACUGUGCGGGUCACUCCCUGGAUCCUGGUCUGGCAGCAGGAAACAGAGGACGCGGUUGCCACACGGAGCCUGCAUUCAAGUGAGAGAGCAAAAGUGAGUCAUCAGCAUCAGCUCAGUGACGGCUGCAGUGACUACAGAGGUGAUUGAGGGGAGGUGGGGUGGCAGAACAAUUAAGAAGCUGUUGCUAAAUAUCUAAGUCAUGCUGGAGAGAGACACAGAGGCCUUGGCAUCAUUCGUCCACGUGCUGGGGCAGCAGAAAACCUCCUGAGACUCCCAAGCUUGCUCGGUAGGUUGCCCAAACCGGCCUAAAAAAUCUCUAGAAUAAUGUGUUU